rnacentral:ncRNA from 1 species
UGCGGUGAAUCCCCCUGUGCGGCGGGGCAAAGCCAAGGUUUCUGACGUGUCAUGCGGGCCGGGAUUCAGGCUAAUCCGGCUCACCGGGAGGCACCCGGCACCGCA